UAACACGUAUCCAACCUGCCGUCUACUCUUGGACAGCCUUCUGAAAGGAAGAUUAAUACAAGAUGGCAUCAUGAGUCCGCAUGUUCACAUGACUAAAGGUAUUCCGGUAGACGAUGGGGAUGCGUUCCAUUAGAUAGUAGGCUGGGUAACGGCCCACCUAGUCUUCGAUGGAUAGGGGUUCUGAGAGGAAGGUCCCCCACAUUGGAACUGAGACACGGUCCAAACUCCUACGGGAGGCAGCAGUGAGGAAUAUUGGUCAAUGGGCGAGAGCCUGAACCAGCCAAGUAGCGUGAAGGAUGACUGCCCUAUGGGUUGUAAACUUCUUUUAUAAAGGAAUAAAGUCGGGUAUGGAUACCCGUUUGCAUGUACUUUAUGAAUAAGGAUCGGCUAACUCCGUGCCAGCAGCCGCGGUAAUACGGAGGAUCCGAGCGUUAUCCGGAUUUAUUGGGUUUAAAGGGAGCGUAGAUGGAUGUUUAAGUCAGUUGUGAAAGUUUGCGGCUCAACCGUAAAAUUGCAGUUGAUACUGGAUAUCUUGAGUGCAGUUGAGGCAGGCGGAAUUCGUGGUGUAGCGGUGAAAUGCUUAGAUAUCACGAAGAACUCCGAUUGCGAAGGCAGCCUGCUAAGCUGCAACUGACAUUGAGGCUCGAAAGUGUGGGUAUCAAACAGGAUUAGAUACCCUGGUAGUCCACACGGUAAACGAUGAAUACUCGCUG
rnacentral:rRNA from 1 species